rnacentral:rRNA from 1 species
UGGGGAAUAUUGCACAAUGGGCGCAAGCCUGAUGCAGCCAUGCCGCGUGUGUGAAGAAGGCCUUCGGGUUGUAAAGCACUUUCAGCGGGGAGGAAGGCGGUGAGGUUAAUAACCUCAUCGAUUGACGUUACCCGCAGAAGAAGCACCGGCUAACUCCGUGCCAGCAGCCGCGGUAAUACGGAGGGUGCAAGCGUUAAUCGGAAUUACUGGGCGUAAAGCGCACGCAGGCGGUCUGUCAAGUCGGAUGUGAAAUCCCCGGGCUCAACCUGGGAACUGCAUUCGAAACUGGCAGGCUAGAGUCUUGUAGAGGGGGGUAGAAUUCCAGGUGUAGCGAUGAAAUGCGUAGAGAUCUGGAGGAAUGCCGGUGGCGAAGGCGGCCCCCUGGACAAAGACUGACGCUCAGGUGCGAAAGCGUGGGGAGCAAACAGG